GCGCCCUUAGCUCAGUUGGUAGAGCAACUGACUCUUAAUCAGUGGGUCGAAGGUUCGAAUCCUUCAGGGCGCACCA
rnacentral:tRNA from 9 species